CAGCAGCCACGGUAAUACGAAGGGGGCUAGCGUUGCUCGGAAUUACUGGGCGUAAAGGGCGCGUAGGCGGACAGUUCAGUCGGGGGUGAAAGCCCGGGGCUCAACCUCGGAAUUGCCUUCGAUACUGGCUGUCUUGAGUAUGAGAGAGGUGUGUGGAACUCCGAGUGUAGAGGUGAAAUUCGUAGAUAUUCGGAAGAACACCAGUGGCGAAGGCGACACACUGGCUCAUUACUGACGCUGAGGCGCGAAAGCGUGGGGAGCGAACAGGAUUAGAUACCCCUGUAGUCCCUGUCUCUUAUAC
rnacentral:rRNA from 1 species